rnacentral:rRNA from 1 species
UAGAGUUUGAUCAUGGCUCAGAUUGAACGCUGGCGGCAGGCCUAACACAUGCAAGUCGAGCGGCAGCGGGAAAGUAGCUUGCUACUUUUGCCGGCGAGCGGCGGACGGGUGAGUAAUGCCUGGGGAUCUGCCCAGUCGAGGGGGAUAACAGUUGGAAACGACUGCUAAUACCGCAUACGCCCUACGGGGGAAAGGAGGGGACCUUCGGGCCUUUCGCGAUUGGAUGAACCCAGGUGGGAUUAGCUAGUUGGUGGGGUAAUGGCUCACCAAGGCGACGAUCCCUAGCUGGUCUGAGAGGAUGAUCAGCCACACUGGAACUGAGACACGGUCCAGACUCCUACGGGAGGCAGCAGUGGGGAAUAUUGCACAAUGGGGGAAACCCUGAUGCAGCCAUGCCGCGUGUGUGAAGAAGGCCUUCGGGUUGUAAAGCACUUUCAGCGAGGAGGAAAGGUUGAUGCCUAAUACGCAUCAGCUGUGACGUAC